rnacentral:rRNA from 1 species
GAUGAACGCUGGCGGCGUGCCUAAUACAUGCAAGUCGAGCGAACAGACGAGGAGCUUGCUCCUCUGACGUUAGCGGCGGACGGGUGAGUAACACGUGGAUAACCUACCUAUAAGACUGGGAUAACUUCGGGAAACCGGAGCUAAUACCGGAUAAUAUAUUGAACCGCAUGGUUCAAUAGUGAAAGACGGUUUUGCUGUCACUUAUAGAUGGAUCCGCGCCGCAUUAGCUAGUUGGUAAGGUAACGGCUUACCAAGGCAACGAUGCGUAGCCGACCUGAGAGGGGGAUCCGCCCAACUGGAACUGAGACAACGUCCAGAACUCUAAGGGAGGGCGCCGGUGGGAAUUUUCCCGCAAGGGCGAAAGCCUGACGGAGCAACGCCGCGUGAGUGAUGAAGGUCUUCGGAUCGUAAAACUCUGUUAUUAGGGAAGAACAAAUGUGUAAGUAACUAUGCACGUCUUGACGGUACCUAAUCAGAAAGCCACGGCUAACUACGUG